GCAAGUCGAACGAGAAAGCUCCUUCGGGAGUGAUUAAAGUGGCGCACGGGUGAGUAACACGUAGGUGAUCUGCCCUUUAGUGGGGGAUAACCCGGGGAAACCCGGACUAAUACCGCAUAAUCUCAACAAAUUUGAAAGUAGUUGAGGAAAGAUGGCCUCUCCUUGGAAGCUAUCACUGAAGGAUGAGCCUGCGCGGCAUUAGCUUGUUGGUGGGGUAACGGCCUACCAAGGCUUUGAUGUCUAGCCGGUCUGAGAGGAUGAUC
rnacentral:rRNA from 1 species